AUUGAACGCUGGCGGCAGGCUUAACACAUGCAAGUCGAGCGAGCGGCGGACGGGUGAGUAAUGUCUGGGACACUGCCUGAUGGAGGGGGAUAACUACUGGCAACGGUAGCUAAUACCGCAUACCAUCAGCUGUGCCCAGAUGGGAUUGGCUAGUGGGUGGGGUAAUGGCUCACCUAGGCGACGAUCCCUAGCUGGUCUGAGAGGAUGACCAGCAAAACUGGAACUGAGACACGGUCCAGACUCCUACGGGAGGCAGCAGUGGGGAAUAUUGCACAAGGGGGGCAAGCCUGAUGCAGCCAUGACGCGUGUGUGAAGAAGGCCUUCGGGUUGUAAAGCACUUUCAGCGAGGAGGAGUGAGAAGAAGAAGAAGCACCGGCUAACUCCGUGCCAGCAGCAGCGGUAAGAG
rnacentral:rRNA from 1 species